GUACUUUCAGCAGUGAGGAAGGUGGGUAUGUUAAUAGCAUACUCAUUUUGACGUUUAGCUGCAGAAGAAGCACCGGCUAACUCCGUGCCAGCAGCCGCGGUAAUACGGAGGGUGCGAGCGUUAAUCGGAAUUACUGGGCGUAAAGCGCAUGCAGGUGGUUUGUUAAGUCAGAUGUGAAAGCCCGGGGCUCAACCUCGGAAUUGCAUUUGAAACUGGCAAACUAGAGUACUGUAGAGGGGGUAGAAUUUCAGGUGUAGCGGUGAAAUGCGUAGAGAUCUGAAGGAAUACCGGUGGCGAAGGCGGCCCCCUGGACAGAUACUGACACUCAGAUGCGAAAGCGUGGGGAGCAAACAGGAUUAGAUACCCUGGUAG
rnacentral:rRNA from 1 species